CUUGAUCGACCCGAGCCACAGCGGCCGGUCCGACGGCCUGCCCUUGCCGUAGGUCGCGAGCAGCGCCUGCGCCUC
rfam:Amycolatopsis orientalis HCCB10007, complete genome.